AAUAGAUACCCCGGGUAGUCCAUGCCGUAAACGUUGGGCGCUAGAUGUGGGGACCAUUCCACGGUUUCCGUGUCGCAGCUAACGCAUUAAGCGCCCCGCCUGGGGAGUACGGCCGCAAGGCUAAAACUCAAAGGAAUUGACGGGGGCCCGCACAAGCGGCGGAGCAUGCGGAUUAAUUCGAUGCAACGCGAAGAACCUUACCAAGGCUUGACAUAUACGAGAACGCUCUAGAAAUAGAGAACUCUUUGGACACUCGUAUACAGGUGGUGCAUGGUUGUCGUCAGCUCGUGUCGUGAGAUGUUGGGUUAAGUCCCGCAACGAGCGCAACCCUCGUUCUAUGUUGCCAGCGGUUCGGCCGGGAACUCAUAGGAGACUGCCGGGGUCAACUCGGAGGAAGGUGGGGAUGACGUCAAAUCAUCAUGCCCCUUAUGUCUUGGGCUUCACGCAUGCUACAAUGGCCGGUACAAAGGGCUGCAAUACCGUAAGGUGGAGCGAAUCCCGAAAAAGCCGGUCUCAGUUCGGAUUGAGGUCUGC
rnacentral:rRNA from 1 species